rnacentral:rRNA from 1 species
AGCAGCCGCGGUAAUUCCAGCUCCAAUAGCGUAUAUUAAAGUUGUUGCAGUUAAAAAGCUCGUAGUUGAAUUUCGGGAUCAGAUUGUUGGUCGUGCCUCGGUACGCACUGGCAUUAUUGGUUCCUACCUUCUGAAGAACCGCGAUGUCAUUAAUUUGGUGUCGUGGGGAAUCAGGACUGUUACUUUGAAAAAUUAGAGUGUUUAAAGCAGGCGCACGCUUGAAUACAUUAGCAUGGAAUAAUGAAAUAGGACGUUUGAUUCUAUUUUGUUGGUUUCUAGGAUCGACGUAAUGAUUAAUAGGGAUAGUUGGGGGCAUUAGUAUUC